rnacentral:rRNA from 1 species
CCUACGGGGGGCAGCAGUGGGGAAUAUUGGACAAUGGGGGGAACCCUGAUCCAGCCAUGCCGCGUGUGUGAAGAAGGCCCUCGGGUUGUAAAGCACUUUCAGUGAGGAAGAACGCCUGGUGGUUAAUACCCAUCAGGAAAGACAUCACUCACAGAAGAAGCACCGGCUAACUCCGUGCCAGCAGCCGCGGUAAUACGGAGGGUGCGAGCGUUAAUCGGAAUUACUGGGCGUAAAGCGCGCGUAGGUGGCUUGAUAAGCCGGUUGUGAAAGCCCCGGGCCCAACCUGGGAACGGCAUCCGGAACUGUCAAGCUAGAGUGCAGGAGAGGAAGGUAGAAUUCCCGGUGUAGCGGUGAAAUGCGUAGAGAUCGGGAGGAAUACCAGUGGCGAAGGCGGCCUUCUGGACUGACACUGACACUGAGGUGCGAAAGCGUGGGUAGCGAACAGGAUUAGAUACCCUAGUAGUC